CUUGGAAUCUCCAAAACUUCUUUAAGAUCUAAGACCAUCUCCAAUGGAGUAUCUAAGAGGUAUCUAUGUCAUGGUUCUAUCUCAUUAUAUGCUGAAAAUUAAAUAAAAAAGAGUAAAAAUAGAUAGAUGUGGUUCUAAAAAUGGAACUUUUGGAACCAUAUCUAAGUUGCAACGUGUCAAUUUCUCAUUUGUUAGUGUUUUUAAAAUAAAAAAAACCCACAAGGCCACAACGCUUCCUCAUUCCAAUCCUUCGCUUCGUUUCAAUUCGGAACCCUAAUUGGUGAAUUACCAAGGAUGGAGUUUGAUGGAGAAGACGGUAGAGGAAGGAGAUGGAUUGAACAGGAAGAAGGAAGAGAGCGGUAACGAGAAGAGCGACGGUGGAGAACGGUGGAGGCAAGAGAAGGGAUCGGGAGAACUCACGACUUCCACCGGCAAAACUAUAUGAGCUCCGGCUACUUUGAUUCUUGCUCCGACGGCUCGUCCGGUCUUCCAUUCAGGCUCAUGCCAGCACCAGAGGACUGAGGACCAUCACCACCAAACUCGAUGAACAAAAUCCACGGACAAUUGAAGCUCCGACAGUGGAGAUUAAAAACUUUCGUCCUUUGUUCCAGCCAUCUUUGAUCUGCUUGCAUGUACAGAGAGUUAUGUAUUUCGAUUGAUAUAUGUUGUUUCUUGUUUAAACUUUGGCUUCUGUUUUUUUUGAUUAAAAAUGGUUUCUUGGGUUUUGUUUUUGUAUAUUCUCAUCUCUUGGAGACUUGUUUAUAUGUUUUCCUCAUACCUUUUAAAGAUUGUUUUUUUCUUUCAAAGGUUUAUUUUAAGGAUUUUUCUCAAUUACUGUUCUGAUGUUUGUGUGUCUGAUUUAUCUCACCAAUAUUUGCAGGUGAACUUUUCGUAUCAUGAAGCCAGAGAACAGAACCUAACUAACAAAGAUGGUCUCGUCCAUUACUAAUCUUGAAAGAGAUCCCAAACAGGGGAUAAUGAACAACUGAUGGUGUAUACUCAAGAAGAAUCUAGUUAAGCUAAUGGAGAAAGGAUGUAAUUGAUAUGGGAAUUGUAUUCAUGUUACUUUAGCUUUGUUUUGUGUUCAGUUGUCUUUUGAAUUGUAAUUUUGUUUAUGAUUUCUCAAUCUAUGUUAUAUGUUUUUAUGUCAAGUUAAUUUAAAUUUUAUGUAAUUUAUGUUAAAUUAAUUUAAAUUUUAUGUAAUUCAAUAAUUAUUUUUUUAA